rnacentral:rRNA from 1 species
AUUGAACGCUGGCGGCAGGCCUAACACAUGCAAGUCGAGCGGAUGAAGGGAGCUUGCUCCUGGAUUCAGCGGCGGACGGGUGAGUAAUUCCUAGGAAUCUGCCUGGUAGUGGGGGAUAACGUCCGGAAACGGGCGCUAAUACCGCAUACGUCCUGAGUGAGAAAGUGAGGGUUCUUCGGACAUCACGCUAUCAGAUGAGCCUAGGUCGGAUUAGCUAGUUGGUGGGGUAAAGGCCUACCAAGGCGACGAUCCGUAACUGGUCUGAGAGGAUGAUCAGUCACACUGGAACUGAGACACGGUCCAGACUCCUACGGGAGGCAGCAGUGGGGAAUAUUGGACAAUGGGCGAAAGCCUGAUCCAGCCAUGCCGCGUGUGUGAAGAAGGUCUUCGGAUUGUAAAGCACUUUAAGUUGGGAGGAAGGGCAGUAAGUUAAUACCUUGCUGUUUUGACGGUACCAACAGAAUAAGCACCGGCUAACUUCGUG